UCUGAAGGGCGUUAUCUGCCACAUCCAGGAGGUGGAAGGCAGUCAAGCCAUGGAAGGCAUGGGCAGCACUUCUACCCCAGGGACUGCUCCUACCUUUGCCAGGAUGCUUUGGCGAUGAGUCUUGCAGAGAUGAUGAUGAAAGGCCAGCUCCAGAUUGUACUGCAGCUGUUCUACUUUCCUUUUCUCUUGGAGCCCUGGCCGAUCUGGAGGAGGGGGUGGGAC
rnacentral:lncRNA from 1 species